UUAUGUUUAGCAUAUUAUAAUAUAAUAGAUUUAGGUUCUAUAGAUUUUUAACAUAAU
rnacentral:tRNA from 1 species